rfam:Salmo salar isolate Sally breed double haploid chromosome ssa14, whole genome shotgun sequence.
AGUCUAUCACAGUGUAAGUCGCUCUUGAUAAGAGUGUCUGCUAAAUGACGUAAA